rnacentral:rRNA from 1 species
GACGAACGCUGGCGGCGUGCUUAACACAUGCAAGUCGAACGGUGAAGCGCCUUCCUUUUUGGUGGGUGUGGAUGAGUGGCGAACGGGUGAGUAACACGUGAGUAACCUGCCCCCUUCUUCUGGAUAACCGCAUGAAAGUGUGGCUAAUACGGGAUAUUCUGGGUCUGUCGCAUGAUGGGUCUGGGAAAGAUAUUGUUUCGGUGGGGGAUGGGCUCGCGGCCUAUCAGCUUGUUGGUGGGGUGAUGGCCUACCAAGGCGGUGACGGGUAGCCGGCCUGAGAGGGUGGACGGUCACACUGGGACUGAGACACGGCCCAGACUCCUACGGGAGGCAGCGGUGGGGAAUAUUGCACAAUGGGCGCAAGCCUGAUGCAGCGACGCCGCGUGAGGGAUGGAGGCCUUCGGGUUGUGAACCUCUUUCGCCAGUGAAGCAGGCCUGCCUCGUUUGUGGGUGGGUUGACGGUAGCUGGAUAAGAAGCGCCGGCUAACUACGUG